CCCGCUGAACUUAAGCAUAUUAAUAAGCGGAGGAAAAGAAACUAACAAGGAUUCCCCUAGUAACGGCGAGUGAAGCGGGAAGAGCUCAACUUGAAAAUCGGCGUGCCAAGCGGCACGUCGAGUUGUAGUCUAGAGAUGCAUCGCCAGUGAGUGACCUUGGUAUAAAUCUUUUGGAACAAGGUAUCGUAGAGGGUGAGAAUCCCGUCUUUGACCGGGAGUUCGCCACGUACGGCAUGCAUUCAAAGAGUCGUGUUGUUUGGGAAUGCAACACUAAAUGGGUGGUAAAUUUCAUCUAAAGCUAAAUAUUAACGAGAGACCGAUAGCGAACAAGUACCGUGAGGGAAAGGUGAAAAGAACUUUGAAAAGAGAGUUAAAAAGUACUUGAAAUUGUUAAGAGGGAAGCGAAGGCAACCAGUCGUGCGGGGUGCGAAUUAGCUAUGGAUUCCGGUUGGUGAGACUUGGGUUGGUUCCGUUAGGUCUGACCCUGUUUCGCGUUCAGGCGUCUGUGGUAUUAGUCGUGCUUUGCGGAUCAGCAUCAGUUUGGGCGGUAGGAGAAUACCAGGAGGAAGAUAGGGGAGACUCUUUCGGGGGUAGCCCUGUUAUAGACUCUUGGCUAUACUAUGGCUUAGACUGAGGUCGAGCGAAUUUCCUCUGGUACCCCGUGACGUUAUUCUGGCGGACAGCAAAGCUGUGUGUUAGGAGACUCGUUGCGCUGGUGCCAGGUCAGGUCGAUUCGUGUUCGUGAUGCUGAUGAAAUGGUUUUCUUUGACCCGUCUUGAAACACGG
rnacentral:rRNA from 1 species